AAAAAGUGUGUUUGGUAAAAUUUCCAAGAAGCUGUUUCAGCUUUUGCGAGAAGCUGAAAACAGCUUUUUUGGCAGAAGUUCAAUUUUGGAGCUUUUCGAAAAUGCUGUUUUCAGCUUUGUCGGAAAGCUGUAUUUUUGACCAAAAUACCCCCAUUUAAAAGUUUCUUUUUCUUCCCAAAAAUCUCAAUCGCACCGCCUCUUUCUCUCUCACN
rnacentral:lncRNA from 1 species